AAGGUCAAGGUCAUCAUCAUCAACAACCUUCCAACUACAUGAUGCCUUUUGCGACCAACCAACCCUCUCCAAAUGGAUGUUACUAUCCUCCUCAGCCUCCUCCUUCGGGAGGAAACCAGCAAUGGUUGAUCCCUGUAAUGUCUCCUUCCGAAGGGCUGAUAUACAAGCCGCACCCAGGUCCAGAUCCGGGGCACACGAUUCCUGUUUAAAAUAUACUUUCCACAAUAAUAUCGAAAGAUCUUCCAUUCUAUUAUUAAAAUUUCGGUGGCAGAAACAAGACAAACUGAUGAAGUGGAACUGAGGAUGUCCUAUCGGGUAAAACCAAAUAGAAAUAGAGAAAGUGAUUUGGAUUUGAUAGAAUCAAAUAUACUAAAUGAAAUUUUUUUUUUCUUUCUAAAAACUCGGUAUAUGGAUAUGAUUUGGUAUAUAAACCGAUCAAACUGAAUAAAUCAAUUAAUGUAAAUAUAGUAGUAUAAUUAUAUGUAAAUUCUAUAAUUUAAUUAAUUAUAUAUACAUAAUUUAUUUAUUGAUAUGAUCUUCAUAGUUAAAAUAUUGAUUUUAGUAAUACAAUAUUUUGUUUUAAGUUAAAAGUUAUUUUUCAUAUUUAUCAAAUUAAAAGAAAAUUUUACUUUUGUCAUUGACAGAUAUGUGUACUAAUAUUUAGUUAUUUAUUUUUUUAUAGAUUACUAAUUUUUUUAUUCUAUAAAAACUAUUAUUAUUGUUAUCAACUUAACAUGUUUACUAAUUAUUUUAAAUAGUAAAAAAAUAGUCUAUUUAAAACAAAAUACCUUCAUGUUUUAUUAACGCCGAUUUCUAAUUAUAUAAAGUAAAAUUUACAAAAUAUUGUAAAAGAUAAAUAUAUUUAUGGGUUUUUGGUAUAAAACCGAAUAAACUGAAAAACAACGGUACAAAAACCAAACGAAACAAAAGUAUAUAUAGUUUUAAUAUGGUAGCUAUUUUUUAUAAAUCGAAAUGCUGAAAAAUAAAAAGGAACCAAAAUCAAACCGAAAUAAAUAUUAAAGACCUCUAAUUGGAAGCAACAAUAAACACCUUAACGAAGGGAUUAUAUAAUGUUCACUUAGAACCUGCAAACUCAAUAGGAAGAUUCUAAAAAACCUCGCUUGAGACGUUUUUUUUAUUGAUAAAUCUAAUCAAAUAAAUACAAGUUAUAGAAAGAAAAAAAGAUUCUCUCAAAAAAUAAAAUUCUUUAUUAAUUAUAUCAAAACUAAAUACAAGCUUAGGCUUGAAUAUUUAUUUAUAAUAAAUUCUUUAUAUGAAAAAUCAUAAUCUUAAUUAAAAUAGAAAACAUUAAAUAUGAAAAAUACAAUUAAUAGUUAAUUGUUUAGAUAUACAAAUAUCUAUUAAUAAUAGCAAUCCCAAUGUAUCUCGUGUCAUUUUAUUUGUUGCAUUUGUUGAAAAGAAACGGUUAAAAUGUCAAAAGAUAUGUAUUUAUAUAUUUAUGUGUUUGGUUUAAAAAUAUUUUUGAAAAAGUGUAACAAUGUAUCUGUAGAUCCUAAAAUCUACACUAAGAAUUUGAUAGUAAUCGGGAGUUCAAUCUAGGGAAGAAAUAACGUGGGCAACGAUAUCCUUAGAACGCAACAAUGUAAUCAGGUAUGAGUCGACAAGAAUGGACUAUAUUCGCAGGUCGAAUAUCCUAGAGAUAUCAGGAUUAAGAAGGAUCGUGACUGAACUCGGGAUCGAGCUGCCUACGUACCCGUCAAGGAUAAGUCUAAACGUAGUUCGAUUAUAAUCAUCUAGAAAGAGAUGUCGGUUUCUUCGGUCAUGGGCGAGACCUCGACUUCGUCGGUCUCGAGCUCGAUGUUUGCUUCGAGAUCUCUUGUCUUGAAUAACUAGUAGUUAGUGUACGAUUGAUUAGUUCUCGAACUGCAUAUGAUCUCUUUAGAUCGAUCUUGUCGUAUGAAGAUAAGGUCGAUCAUUAACAUGAUACAAGGGUCGCUAUCGUCAUGGAUUCUUGUUUUCACUAUUACAAAGAUGUGUUUACGUCGUGAGAUGAUUAUUGGGAAUCUCAUCUCUCUCGUUCUUCUUAAACCAUAAAGAAAUGGAUGACUUGUUUAAUCAUUAGACAGAUAUGAUGAUUCCAUCAUGUGUUGGUGGAGGAAGAUGGCGAUCUUGCCGAGACCGAAGUCUCUCCACCUCUUCGUCAGUCUUUAUUCUUUUGUUUUCAUCCUUUUUGUCUUUGUUUCGUUCGUCGAGAAUGUGUCCUCUUCGUUAGAUCCAAGGCCUCUUUUAUAUGACAGCAAGGUUGUUGCAAGAAGCUAGUAAUAUGGUUAGUAAUUUGUUGCACAUGUUCCACCUUUCUAGCUACGACUUCUUCUUUAUUGAUCGCUCUCCGAUAUAUAAGAAGAAUAAUUCUCUUGUUCUUUGACUCAUUCAUACUUAAAGAAUCUCGGCCUCUAUGGACCGACUUUGGGUUACGAGUUCUCAUGGGCCUGUCUAAGCUCAACUCGAGGUCGUCGUUAACCGCUUUUUUAUCUUUUUGGCAGGAAGGAUUUAGCGCUAAAUUCUGGUCCAAUAGUAUCUUGUGUCAUUUUAUUUUAAAAAUUGCAUUAGUUGGAAAAAAUUAAAAUGUGAAAGGAUGUAUCUUUAUAUAUUAUUGUGUUUUUUUCCUCAUAUAAUGAAUAUAAAAAGUUUUCUAAAAUGUGUAAGGAUGCAAAUUUUUUGGAAAUCCAAAAUAAAUAUUUAAAGAUUUAUCUUUUGAUCUUAAAUGUUGCAUUAGUUUAAAAGAAGUUACUAAAAUAUCUAUGGAUGUGUCUUUCUAUAUGGAGGUGUCCUUUGAUCAUGCAAUGAUUUUUUUUGAGAUUAUGAAAAUGUGUAAGAAUGUAAUUUACUUGUUGUAAUAAAUAUUUUAUUUAAUGCAACAUUAAUUUAUUUAAUUUUAAAUAAUUAAUUUUUUUAAUGAUGUUUGCACCAACAUAAUUUAUUGUAUAAAAUACUUGAAGUAUAUAAUUGUGUUAGUUAGAUUGUAAAAUGCUUUAAUAAAACACUAUUCAAUCAUGAUAAGUGUAAGUCAAAGUAUGCCAAUGUAAUUUAAAGUUAGAUUGACUUAAGUAAUUAAAGUUUUACUUAUCAAAUUUUUAAAAAAGUUUAGAUCAUUUAACUUAGAAUCAUUAUAUUAUUAUUUUAUUAAUAAAUAACUGUUUUAACUGAAUUGUGAAAAGAUUCAUCCGUUAGUUUUCAGUUUUCGAAUUUUAUAUUUAUUUUUAUUAUUUUCAUCAUAAAAAUGUGCAUUUAAUAGUUACGAACAUUGAUAUGAAAACUUGUAUCAAUUACUUGUCUUUUCAAUAUGUAUAUAUAUAUAGUGUAUUGUAGAACAUUUGCCUAAAACUCCAUUAUUUUUCUAUUUCUUAAACUAAUACAUCUUGUAUUUUCCAUUUAUCAAAUGAGUAAACAUUUGGUAAAUGUAAAACAAAAUUUUAAUAAUUCACAUUUAAUUUUUAGAAAUUCCCUAGAUAGCUCUUUUUAGGUUUUUGUCACAAAAAUAAUUUUUAAUGAAGAAAAUGACCAAAAUAAAUUUUAUUAAAGUAUAAAAAAAUAUUUUUUUCCCUAGGAUUAACUAAUCUAAACUUAGGGUUUAGAGUUAAGAUAUGGAGUUUUGGGGAUAUUGUUUCAAAUCUAAAAAAUAAAAAAUAAAGAUUAAAAUUUUCAAAAUAAAAAAGAUUUGGUCAUUUUCUUUCUUGAAUGUUAUUUUGUGACAAAAACUUUAAAAAUGUUAUAUGAGAGAAUUGCCCUUUGAAUUUCAAUAGAAUAGAUUUACGAAGAGUGUCUAAUACAUUUUUGCAUCAUCAAAAAUCCAUUAUUCCAUUAUUCUUCAACAAAGAAGGUUAUUUUGCAUGUCAUAUAAUAUUUAAUAUUUACUAUAUAUUUAAUUAACCUUGUGAAAAAUACGGAUUAACUGUCGGCUUGAUAAUUGUUUUUUUUUUUCUGGUCGCCCGACAAUUGGUUCAAUCAGACAAGUCGAUGAAACCAAAGCCGGUUAGAGUUUUAAUCGGGGGCUGGUUUGAAGCGAUAGGAGGAAGGGAACAGUGUGAAACUCAAACCAUUUUGGUACUCUCUCUCUCUCUCUCUCUCUCGGUGAUAAAGGGUUUUGCAAUCUAGACAUGUCUUGGGCAGAGAAGAAGCGAUCGCCGCCGCCGUCUCCGAUUACUUCACUUCCGGAGGACGUCGUGGUUGACAUCUUGGCGCGUGUGCCGAUAUGUGACUAUCCGAGAGUGUCCCUCGUUUCGAAGCGCUUCCCUUCGCUCGUUUCGUCGCAUGAGAUAUACGCGAGACGAUCUUCGCUGGGCUGCACUGAGCAUUGUCUCUAUGUUGUCCUUCGCAACAGGGACGACCGUGUGAACCGUUUGUUUACGCUCCGCCGCCGGAAAGACAAUGGCAAUAGCAACCGCCGCUUGGUCCUUAUCCCUGGGAGUCCGGAUAUGCCUCCCGAAGGAAGCUUUGUAGCGGUGGGUUCGAGGUUAUAUGUGUUUGAUGGGAUGACAUCGAGAGCCUUCUUCAUCGACUGUACAUCUCACACUGUGCAACAUCUCCCGAAGAUGCCUGCCCCCAUGUCUGAUACAGCCGCUGACGUCAUCGGCGGGAGAAUCUAUGUGUUCGAUACAGAAACACAAACGUGGGUGACAAAGCCAGAGAGAUGUGAAAUGUAUUUGUCUGGUGGUCUGGCUGUGAUGGCUGGUAAGAUGUACGCGAGGGGUUUUGAAGAUAGCUUUGUUUACGACCCAAAGGAAAGCAAAUGGGAAACGGACGAGGUGCUGGAUUCCAAGGACUGGGAGAACGCGUGUGUUGUUGAUGAUGUUUUGUACUUCUACGAUUAUAUUGACGACGAAUUGAGAGCGUAUGAUCCAGAGCACAAGUGUUGGGGAGUGGUGAAAGGUUUGGAUGAUUUCUUGGCUGAGAUGAGACGUGUUGGUUGUCAUUUGGCGAGGACUGUGAGUUACGCUGGCAAACUGGUUUUGUUUUUUCAUAGACAAGAAAUCAUUUGUUGUGCGGAGAUUUCGCUGGAAAGGGGGUCAGAUUUGCGGUAAAGACGUUGAUCAGUGGUGUGAUCAUGCCUUGAUCGCUGGUUAUUUUAUCAUUACGAAAUCUCUAGAUGUUGUGCUCUAAUUCAACAAUGCUCUCUCCGCCUUUGUUUGAGAGUUGAGAGUCUCUCACUUGUAUGCUCCUUACCAGAGUAUGUAACUGAAUGGAAACAUGCCUUCCCGCUAUUUUAUGUCCCAAGCUGCUAUAUAUACAGCUCGAAACAGAGUUCCACUCUGUUGCAAUUUAAGCAAACAAUUUUAGCCAAGAAAAGCUCAUCAAAGAACUAGUGACUACUUGUCGCUUUGCUUAUUACCCUGCUGGAGCUUUAGCUGACUAUUGCUCUCAUCAAUUAAUAAUAGGAAUCCUAACUUUUUUUUUUUUUGGAGCAAAAUAGGAAUCCUAAUUAAUGUUGACAGAUCUUGUCUUUUCAGUCUAAACAUUGCAUUUGUUUUUAAGAGAUUAUUAAAAUUUAUAAAAGGUCUCUUUCCUAAAAAUGUGUCAUGUUAAAAAUUACACUAAGUUUCGGUUUUGUUCAAUCGGGUCUCGUUCGGAUUUAUUAAAAUCAGUUUCAUUCGGAUUAUAUAAAAGUUUGGUUCUAGACCGGUUCAAGUUCUAUCGGGUUUGGGUCGAGAUUAGUAAAUCUUCAAAGAACCGGUACAAUCCGAUGUACUUCCGGGUUUGGGUCCCAAUCGGUUCUUCGGUUUAAAAGUUCAUGAUAUGAACCUACCUUGUAGCCAAAAAAUAAAUAAAAUUAGUUUUUCGGUUUUAAAGUACCUGAUUUGUACGUAUUUUGUAACCAAAACAUAAGGAAAAUUGAUUCAAAAAUUUUCAAAAAGAAAAUCAAACGUGAUAAUUCAAAAUCAAAUGAAAGGUACACAUAGCUAUUGAUAGAAAAAAAAUGAAAGCAUAAAAUGAAAACCAAGUUGCCUUGUGAAAUGAAAAACAUUAUUCAAUGAAAAUAAAACCAAAAUCUAAAAACUUCAAGUUUUAACUACCACCUUCUACCAUCAACCUUCAUGUAAUAGAUAAUUAUUUUAGAUGUUCAAUAACAUCUUAGUGUAUUUUGGAUAUAUAUUAGGAAUUGAGAUAAUGUUUGGUAUAAGUUUUUUUGGGUUUUAAAUGUUUCGGGUUCUAUCGGAUAUCUAUUUAAGUUUGAAUUCAGUUUCAGAUAAUAUCCAUAAUCCAAAAUAUCAUAAAAUAAGAUCCAUUUGAUAUUCAUUUUUAUUGGAUCGGGUUCGGCUUGGAUUUUUGGAUUCGAUUUAUUUUCCCAGACCUUAAAAAAUUAUAAUGCGUUAGAUACUCAAAGUUUACCAUGGAUAAAAUCAACGAUUUUGAUUUAAAAAGAAAACAAAUUAUUUGCCAACAAAGAUAAACUAUAAGUUGAUAAAAAGAAGAUAAACUACAUAAAAUGAUUUAAUCAGCUAAAUUAAUAGCAUGAUUAAUAUAAAAUACUGCUAAAAUGUAGAAAUCGUAUACUACCUGUUAAUUUGUCCAUUUUCUAUCUUUUGCCUAUGAAAUGUUUGAUAACAAUUAUAAAAGUUAACCUUAAAUUUCUAUUUGUAAAUGCUUAGGCUCUAAGCUUGUAUCAUUAGACUUGUGUUUUACUAUGGGUUUUGAGAGAUAAAGCUGUAGACUAAAGUCUAUUAAGCAUAAUGGCCCAUGUCCGUGUUUAUUGAAAUAACAACAAUAUUUUUUUUUAAAGUUCACUGCAACAAGCUAACGUAUAAAGAUUUUGUGGCGGUAGCUGGUGAUUAUGGAUGGGUUUUUUUGACAAAAAAACUAUGGACAAGAUUAUUGAAAGCACAACCCAUAUAUAUUUCAAUAACCAUCAUAUCUCGAACAUAAAACUAGAUUUGCUUACGAUGAUAAAAAAUUAGGGAUAAGAUUAAAAAGUUUCAAACGGACGACGAUAACGUACGGACAAAAGCAACAAAAAAGAAAAGAUGUAAUGUCCUAAUGUUAAUGGUGGGAUGAGCUUUAAAGAUUUCUUAAACUUUCUAGGUUCUUUUAUUUAUUAAUACAAAACCGGGUUGUCACGCACUUUCCUUGGUGAAAUGAAAUUUUUAUUAAAUUUUUUUAUUAAAAUGGUUAUCGGGAAGGAUCUUCUUCUCCUUGUAUCUAAUCGGGACCCACUCGUCUAUCUCUUUUUCCCCUUGCUUCUCCUAUCCUCUCACAACUCACAAGUCAUCUCUUCAAUUCCCACCUGAGAAACUAGCUCCCCCACGAAAGAGCUUCGGUCUUUUUGUAUCUGGGUCUGUCCUUAGUUUCUAGGCCUUGUUCUGAUUACUGUUGAGUCAGUGUUUGAUUUCAACUUUUAUCGGUGAGAUCUGAUCGUAGCCGGUGGUGGUUAAUAGUUGAUUAGUUGGCUGUUUUCUUGAGAUUAAUUAGGGUUUGGUGAUGAAGAGAGGGAAAGAAGAAGAGAAGAGAUUGGAACCGAUGUUCCCAAGGCUACAUGUGAAGGAUGCAGAGAAAGGAGGGCCAAGAGCUCCUCCAAGAAACAAGAUGGCUCUCUAUGAGCAACUUAGCAUCCCUUCUCAGAGGUUUACUAGUAGUGAUCGUGCUGGGUCUUUGCCCCGUAACACCUCCUCCCCUUUGCUUCCUCCUGGACCAUCAUCUAACCAGGUAUGUUUGCUGCUUUUUGGAGUGUUACAUCUUUAUAUGCAGCUUUUGCCUCUAUGUUAUUUUCUUGGACUCUCUUUAAAUGAUGGUAUUGCAAAAAUUCAUAUUUUCUAUUCUAGUGUGAAUGAUUCAUAUUGAUUCUUUGUCUACUGGCCAGGGAACUGAUAACUUUGUCUCCCAUAUGCCCUUCAUGGAAAAUGUGCGGGCUUCUUCAGCACAUCAUGAUCAUCAGAGGAAAAUAGCUAGAGAGGAAGAUGAUUUCGCUGUUCCAGUAUUUAUUAACUCUAGAAGUUCUGGCAGAGGCAAGAGUGGCUCAAAGCGAGGUGUUGGCUUGGCAGCUAACUCAGCUACAGAGGAAAUGGAUCUUGCAUCGACUAGUGACCGAGUAGAUGAUGGACGCAUUAAUAAUGGAGUUGAGUCUCACAUGGCGGCAUCGGAAGAAGAAGGUCAUGGUCAUGGUAAUGCUAAUGAUGAGUACUGUACAAGUGGAGGAGGAGGAUACACCUCUCUGCGACAAGAGAUAAAUAAUGAAGAGGAGGCGAGUGAUGAUAAUUCGAUGGUGGAUUCUGUUUCCAGCUUAGAUGUCUAUCCCGAUGACGUUGUGGGAGUGUUGGGUCAAAAACGUUUCUGGAGAGCAAGGAAAGCUAUUGCCAAGUAAGUUCUCACUACAUUUAUUUGAUUCCACCUAUUUGCUUGCUUGCUUGCCCCUGAAUCCUCCCCAAAAUGUGGUCCGAUUAUAUAUGGUAGUUAAAGACCCUUUCUGUAACAUAUUUAACGCAUUUGGAUCAUGUUAGCAGGGAGGGACAUUCGUACAUAGUGCAAGGUGCCUGCCGAGACAGUUUAUGGAUUUUAUACUGUGUCUUCUUAGCAUCUGCUUGUUGGAACAUGUGUCCCUGUCUCGGUUUGGUAUUGGUAUUGUUUUUUAUUCUUGGGCAUUUUCCCCUUCUUGUCACUCAAAGCAGGUAGGGGAACGUGCUUCUGAGGACCCUCGGGGGAUCUAAAUUUUAGUUAACCAUACAUAAAAGCUAGGUUAUGAGUCUCAUGAAAAUGCAGAAUCCUAGUUGCUUAAGAGGAUCCCCUUAGCGGGUGAUUGUGAACUACGGACGACUCCAUACUCUGAGAUCUAAAGUUCUAGAUAUCAGUAACUUGUCUUUUCUUUUUCUUGUUUUCUUAGUUAACAGUUUUAUGAUACCUUUAUGUGCAUCUUUGGACGCAUUGAUUUGGCAUUCUUGAUUAGAGCUGUGUAUUCAUACUUCUUUUCAUUUUCGAUUGUUUCAACUAUAUAUCAUCUUGUUGAUUUGACUGUGUUUCUCCUUACAGUCAACAAAGAGUAUUUGCUGUUCAACUGUUUGAGCUGCACAGGCUGAUUAAGGUAAAAAUCUCAAUCCAGAAUUUCUUUUCAUUAUGAAUGUUGUAAUCGUAAUAAAUCAGCUGUAAUAUUGGUUUUUUUUUUUGUCACUGAUCAGCUGUAAUAUUGUAAUCGUAAUAAAUCAGGUCCAAAGACUAAUAGCUGCAUCGCCGGAUGUUUUGGUCGAUGACAUGAGCUAUGUUGGAAAAGUUACUGCUAAAAGCUAUCCAGUGAAGGAGCUCCACCUUCCAUCAGGUUUUAUAGUAAAGCCUCCUCUACCACAGGUUAUCAAACACAGAAGCAGCAGCGACUCGGACAAGACUGACCAACAUAAAAUGGAAUGCUCAGCUGAGAACGUAGUUGGGAGGCUGCCAAACCAAGGUCAAGGUCAUCAUCAUCAACAACCUUCCAACUACAUGAUGCCUUUUGCGACCAACCAACCCUCUCCAAAUGGAUGUUACUAUCCUCCUCAGCCUCCUCCUUCGGGAGGAAACCAGCAAUGGUUGAUCCCUGUAAUGUCUCCUUCCGAAGGGCUGAUAUACAAGCCGCACCCAGGUCCAGAUCCGGGGCACACGGGGCCGGUCUGUGGAGGGUAUUAUGGUCAUUUCAUGCCUGCACCAAUGUUCAUGGGUGGUGGUGGUGGUCAGCCUCCUCCGUUUCACCCGGGCAUGGGAUUCCUAUCUCAUGGUAAUGGCUACUUUCCUCCAUAUGGUGGUAUCAUGAUGAACCCUUACUAUUCCGGACAACAACAACAACAACAACCCAAUGAGCAAAUGAACAACAACAUCCAACAACAGAGCUCAGUGAAUGAAGCGACUCAACAACAACAACAGCCAACGAAAUCUUAUCCUCGGGCUAAAAAGAGCAGGCAAGAGGGAAUCUCUGGUAAGAAGAAGUCCUUUCAACCAUUCUCAGCGGUUGAUGAUGUUCAUGAUGACAAGAUCAACAAUGCUGCACAACCUACUGAGGAAAUGAUGACGACAACCACAACCACAACAACAACUGUGAUAGUAAAGCCUCCUCUACCACAGGUUAUCAAACACAGAAGCAGCAGCGACUCGGACAAGACUGACCAACAUAAAAUGGAAUGCUCAGCUGAGAACGUAGUUGGGAGGCUGCCAAACCAAGGUCAAGGUCAUCAUCAUCAACAACCUUCCAACUACAUGAUGCCUUUUGCGACCAACCAACCCUCUCCAAAUGGAUGUUACUAUCCUCCUCAGCCUCCUCCUUCGGGAGGAAACCAGCAAUGGUUGAUCCCUGUAAUGUCUCCUUCCGAAGGGCUGAUAUACAAGCCGCACCCAGGUCCAGAUCCGGGGCACACGGGGCCGGUCUGUGGAGGGUAUUAUGGUCAUUUCAUGCCUGCACCAAUGUUCAUGGGUGGUGGUGGUGGUCAGCCUCCUCCGUUUCACCCGGGCAUGGGAUUCCUAUCUCAUGGUAAUGGCUACUUUCCUCCAUAUGGUGGUAUCAUGAUGAACCCUUACUAUUCCGGACAACAACAACAACAACAACCCAAUGAGCAAAUGAACAACAACAUCCAACAACAGAGCUCAGUGAAUGAAGCGACUUCACAACAACAACAGCCAACGAAAUCUUAUCCUCGGGCUAAAAAGAGCAGGCAAGAGGGAAUCUCUGGUAAGAAGAAGUCCUUUCAACCAUUCUCAGCGGUUGAUGAUGUUCAUGAUGACAAGAUCAACAAUGCUGCACAACCUACUGAGGAAAUGAUGACGACAACCACAACCACAACAACAACUGUGACUCAGACAACGAGAGAUGGAGCAGGAGUGACGAGAGUGAUCAAGGUGGUUCCGCACAAUGCCAAUCUGGCGAGUGAGAACGCUGCAAGAAUUUUCCGGUC
rnacentral:lncRNA from 1 species